UACGUAGGUGGCAAGCGUUGUCCGGAUUUACUGGGCGUAAAGAGCGCGCAGGCGGUCGAUCAAGUCGAGUGUGAAAGCCCCCGGCUCAACUGGGGAGGGUCAUUCGAUACUGAUCGACUCGAAGGCAGGAGAGGGUAGUGGAAUUCCCGGUGUAGUGGUGAAAUGCGUAGAUAUCAGGAGGAACACCAGUGGCGAAGGCGGUGCUCUGGGCCGGAACUGACGCUGAGGAGCGAAAGCGUGGGGAGCAAACAGG
rnacentral:rRNA from 1 species